CCCUCUUUUUAUUAUUCAUUCAUUCAUUCAUUCAUUCAUUCAUUCAUUCAUGUACAGGGAUGUCUCCAAAGAGUCCUCUCGUUGGAAUGAGGGCAAAGCGGCUCCCCGAGCGGGGCGAACCGGGUUGGAUUCUGGCUGGAGCGCGGAGGAUUCGGGGCGCCCGAGCUCGUGGGGGAUUGUGUUUCUAUCCUCCAGAUAACCCAGAGGGGACAGUACAAAUCACAGAUCCAACUGAGAAUAACACUUUGUGGUGCAACUUGGAGGGAGCGCAUCACCUUGAACCAUCUCACUUGAUACAGUCACGUGUGAAAUAGAGAAAUUAGUAAGCUACUUUUCCAAUUGAAUUAUGGUCAGAACAAAACCAUGGACCUUCAUAAACCACUUUUCAAAUUGCCAACACUUAAGAGUUUGCUUUAAAGAAAAGGUCCUACUUGAGUAAGAGUUUGGGCAAACGUGGUGGAAAAAAAGGGCUCUAAUAGAUCUAACAAUCUUCAGUAACUAUUACCUCACCUUUGAAAAGCCUGAUGAAUCUCAUAUAAUUGUUUCCGGAUAAAUUAAUAGAAUUUGAUCUCCUCAAACGUCCAUACAUCUCAAUUUUUUUUUUUUUUUACACUUUGCCACAUAAUCCUGGAUUACUGGAGUUCAUCAUAUAUUUUAUUUUCUAAGCUUCUAGGUGUAUUUCAGUCUCUCUACUGGUGCCAGAAGAAAAAGUGCUUUGGCAGUAACAUUCAAUGGAAAAUCCAUCCUCGGAUACACUAGGACGCAGCUGACACGCAGGGCACGUGUGAAUUUUACAGACAGAUUUAGUGGGCUGUUCGGCAGCAGGGAGAUUAAGGAGCUGAACUCAGUAGUUUCAUAGACGCUGACGUUAUUCGACUUCUGGUAAAAAGCAUUGCAUAGGUUGCAGGUCGGCUCCACAUUUAGCCAUGUACAGUAAUUUAAGUAUCUUAAGUGACAGCACUUCUGUAUAAUCAUAAUCUUAUUCUUUGACUACUUGGAAAAAUUUAUCGGAAGAAAAACAUGAUUCAGUAUGUUGAGCUAUUUUCACCUCACAGAACAAUAUUAUAAAUUUAAUAAAUUACAGUCUGAAAGAGAACAGCACAUUUGCUACUUUACUUUUGAAAAUAUUUGCUUUUACUUGAGCUGAUUUUCGAAAAGAAACGUUUUUGGAUGACUCUUAAUGAAAAAGUAUCAAAGACCUGUUUUAUCUUUAAGAAAAAUUACUGGUCCUGCCGAGGGAUACUGACAUCAGUGGCCAUGGGAGUUUUCCAGAACAUACCACCUCUCUUUUGCUUUUUCUUUGUCUUCCUUCCCUCUCUGCUUUCUAGUUAUCCCUUUAUCUUCUUACUCUAUCCUCCUUUUCUUUCUCAUUAAACUCAUUUUUCUCUUCAGUUUAUCCUACUCUCCCCCAAACCAGUGACACUUAAAUGUUACUUAAUAUUAAUGUCAGAAAUACUGAAAUGCAAAGCAGUUGUUUUGACAUUUCAAUCUUUUUCCCCUUUCUCUUUUUCCUGUUUCCUUCUCUUUUUCUAUUCUUCUUUCCUUUCUUCCUUCUUUCUUUAUUUUUAAGGAAAUCUGGAAAUGUUCUUUAUAGCUUUGAUUUCUUUAGGCUUUCAGGUAAUUUACUAUAUUAAAAACAUUUGUUUUAAGACAAAAGAAACUUUUGAUUUAAUCCCAUUAAAAUGGUAUAGAUCACCAUUUUCUUC
rnacentral:lncRNA from 1 species